rnacentral:lncRNA from 1 species
GAUCUCUCCGGUAGCGAAGGGCUGGAGGCAAACACCGAGCUCCCCCUGAGCCGCCCGGGAGCAGGGAGGGCUCCGCUACCCCGGGGGGCCCUCCCCGCGGGGCAGAUGCCAAGAAGAAUGUGUUGGUGAAGUGGAAGUGACAGACAACUUAAAAGCUCAGUAUCCAGACUUUCUGAGCUGUGUUAUGGGUCACUCAAGCAGUCCACCUUCCUGACUUUCCAUAAUCUACUGGAUUCGUAAUCCACACCAUACUUGAGAACAUGGGGAUCGGCAUAAGAGAUGUAAUCCCAGGCAGUAAGAUUGAGAGGAAAAGGAAAGAGAGAUGGAGAAGGAUGGGACACAAUGCAAGAUGAUGUUUGAAUAAUCUGCAGAGACAGUAGGUACGCCUGCAUAUCCAUGCAGGAUAUCUCCGGACAUGCACCAUGGCGAAAACAUGCUCAGGUAAGUUCUUGGGAAGCAGAAAGGAAAAAAAAUCCAUCUUCAUGGUUCUCUCCUAUUUCCCACUGAUCAAAAUUUACCACACCAGGAGUUUCUUUCCUCAUCGUUCCAGGUUAUGUCGUAUGUUCCCAUGUUAGUCUCUUAGCAGGCCACAGCCAGUGCUCUAUGGUGUGGCCUGUAAUCCUGCUCGGGGAAUGGAGAGAGAAGCCAGAAAUUCAUGGUGUGCAGCUGAAGAACCUAGUUUCUCAGUGGCAAUCAAGGAGGAGGCCCAGGCUGGGAAAGUGGCAGAUAAAUUCCAGCCCAAGGUAGCAAGGCUACAUGGGCCCAAACAAAGCAAGUCAGUUGCAGCGGUGGCUAAGCUGGAACUGGAACCACCUCCAGGAAGUGUUCUGAGGGUUACAAAGAAUAACUAUAGGGAAGUAUAUUCCUAGACAGCACAGAAUAAGUGAAUCUGAACAUAGGCUUUGGAGACAGGCAGAGGGGCACUUAUGUCAUAGCUGUAUAUGAUGAUCUAAGGCAAUUUACUUAAUCUCUUUAAGCCUUAGUUUCUUUACACAUAGCAUGGGGAUGAUAAUACUGUAUAGCUCAUCAUUUGGUAUGAUGCUAGGAAUACAGUAAAUGCUAAAUAAAUUAUGGCAAUUAUGACCAAAGAUGACUGUGUGAUCUUCCCAAUGCUUUCUUUUCUCUAGGCUGACUCUGCAUGUACUGCUCCUAAAUCCAUCUUGAGCAGGGUGGGUGGCUUGAAACCAAGUCCUUUAGUCAGCCUCAGGGGCAGCUGCACUUGAGGUCAUGGAGCCCCACAUGAGGUCACAUGGCCCCCACAGCAUGCUGACACAUUAAGCCCCAAGAUGGCAGCACUGCUAACCCAUCACCUUAGGUAUGCAGAAAGGACAUAUCUUGAAUAACCAUUUUUUCCUAAACUUUUUUUCCCUUCAAAGUAGAAAAAUAAAGUUUUUUGGUCAAAAUUGCUUUGUUGGCCCCAGAAAGCACAGCCAAAUACAUUAGUAUUACUAGGUCCACACAAUAAAGAGGUUCCUAUAAGACUUUAAAAAUAGAGGAGAUUACUCUUACACAAAUGGUAUUUGAUAGGAUGUAAUCUCUAAAUUAUACACAUCAAAAUUUCUUUGUUCUCAUAAAUUAAAAUUAUUUCAACUUUACAUAAGCAUACUAGAUGCCAAGAGGGAGUUCCCUGGUGGCCUAGUGGUUAAGGAUUCAGCAUUGUCACUACUGUGACUUGGGUUAGUUAGGUCCUUGGCUUGAGAACUUCCAUGUGCCACNAAAAAAAAAAAAAAAAAAAAAAAAAAAAAAAAAAAAAG